UUUUAUUUUUAAGUUCAGUGAAAUAACUGAUUUUCCACUGCACCAAUAUUCUGCAUUAGAGUUGCACAUCCUAAAACUGAUCUCAUUUCUCCCUUCUGGUUUAUUGGGAUUUCUUUUUUCUACUACCGUCAGCUGAGAGAUGCCUGCUGAGACCACAGCCCAUCAUAGGUGGUGUAUUGGCAAAGCUAAAUCACAGCAUGAAGCACUGAUGGAGCACCUGGUGAAAAGGCAGAGCCAUCCCUGAGGAGCUCAGGUGCCUGCAGUGCCACUGAGUGGGGAAGGGGUGCAGCCAGGAUCCACACCUCCCCAGCCCUCAUUUAGGGGCUGACAGUGAAGGUGAGAAUCCCUUGCUGGAGAUCCCUGCAUUCCUGAGGCCUUCCAUGGUGAACACUGCAGUAAUGUUCCAGCCGUUCCUGCAGGUUACCUGACAUUUCUUCUUGAGCUUGAACGUUUGAACUCCUGCAGUGUUUGCAUGGGAGAGCUCGCUCUUCCAUACAGUGUCUGCAGCACAUCAUAGAAUCACAGAACAGCUCAGAGCUGUGUGAUGGAGCAAGGCUGCACAGCAGUCCUCACCCAUUCCUACAGCAGGCUUCCAAAUACAAGCUGAAAUUAAAGCACCAGGACAGUGGUUUCACCCAAGUCCGGUUCACAGGUCUGUCCACCAUCUGGAGCAAUUACAAGGUGAAUGGAAAGCCGUGGAAAUACUGUUCCCAAAGAAAAGGCGUCCAGCAGUAUAGGCACUGUCCAUCCCGGAACCCUCACCCAUACCUCCAGGACAGUGCUGUGCUUCUCCACUAAGUUGCAGAAUGGAAGAGUCUGAGGACCUGAUCUUAAAAUUUUAAGGCAGGUAUUUCUCAGGGUCCAUCAUGUUUCUGGCAGUAUGACAGGAGAAACACCUUUGAACUCCAACCUCUCUUUGGAAUUGUAACAACAGUAGGUCCAGGUUAUAACAAAGUCACUUAAAUGCUUAAAAUAAAUGUAUUAAUUGAGACCCAGAAACAGUCUUUACCUAAGACUUUAGCUUGUCUAACUGAAAAAGAAGUGGGAGCUGGCU